GGGGAAUUGUUCGCAAUGGGCGCAAGCCUGACGACGCAACGCCGCGUGGAGGAUGAAGAUCUUCGGGUCGUAAACUCCUGUCGAGCGGGACGAAUGCCUUGCCGGUGAAUAUCCGGCGCGGGUGCCGGUACCGCUAAAGGAAGCCCCGGCUAACUACGUGCCAGCAGCCGCGGUAAUACGUAGGGGGCGAGCGUUGUCCGGAAUUACUGGGCGUAAAGCGCGCGCAGGCGGACCGCUGCGUCGGCCGUGAAAGCCCCCGGCUCAACCGGGGAGGGUCGGUCGAGACGGGCGGUCUGGAGGGCGUCAGAGGGGGGUGGAAGUCCGGGUGGAGCGGUGAAAUGCGUAGAGAUCCGGAGGAACACCGGCGGCGAAGGCGGCCCCCUGGGGCGGCCCUGACGCUGAGGCGCGAAGGCCGGGGGAGCGAA
rnacentral:rRNA from 1 species